GGAACGUAGUCAUUCAUGA
rnacentral:snRNA from 1 species